UUGCCUGGCAACGAUAGCGCGGUGGUCCCACCUGACCCCAUGCCGAACUCAGAAGUGAAACGCCGUAGCGCCGAUGGUAGUGUGGGGUCUCCCCAUGUGAGAGUAGGGCAUUGCCAGGCAUC
rnacentral:rRNA from 1 species